rnacentral:tRNA from 1 species
GGUAGGUGGGCUGGACGGUAAAGCACGAGUUCGCUAAACUCGCAAGACGUGAGUCUUGAGUGGGUUCGACUCCCGCACCUACCG